UACGUAGGGCGCAAGCGUUGUCCGGAAUUAUUGGGCGUAAAGAGCUCGUAGGCGGUCUGUUACGUCCGCUGUGAAAACCCAGGGCUUAACCCUGGGCUUGCAGUGGAUACGGGUAGACUAGAGUGUGGUAGGGGAGACUGGAAUUCCUGGUGUAGCGGUGAAAUGCGCAGAUAUCAGGAGGAACACCGGUGGCGAAGGCGGGUCUCUGGGCCGAUACUGACGCUGAGGAGCGAAAGCGUGGGGAGCGAACAGG
rnacentral:rRNA from 1 species